rnacentral:rRNA from 1 species
UGGGGAAUCUUGCGCAAUGGGCGAAAGCCUGACGCAGCAACGCCGCGUGUGUGAUGAAGGCUCUUGGGUCGUAAAGCACUGUCAGGAGGGAAGAAGUCAUUGUCGGUUAAUACCCGGCAGUGUUGACGGUACCUCCAAAGGAAGCACCGGCUAACUCCGUGCCAGCAGCCGCGGUAAUACGGAGGGUGCAAGCGUUGUUCGGAAUCAUUGGGCGUAAAGCGGGCGUAGGCGGUCCAGCAGGUCGGAUGUGAAAUCCCAGGGCUCAACCCUGGAACUGCGUUCGAAACCCCUGGACUUGAGUACGAAAGAGGGUUGUGGAAUUGUCAGUGUAGAGGUGAAAUUCGUAGAUAUUGGCAAGAACAUCAGUGGCGAAGGCGACAACCUGGUUCGAUACUGACGCUGAGGCCCGAAAGCGUGGGGAGCAAACAGGAUUAGAUACCCCCGUAGUCC